rnacentral:rRNA from 1 species
GACGAACGCUGGCGGCGUGCUUAACACAUGCAAGUCGAACGGAAAGGCCCUGCUUUUGUGGGGUGCUCGAGUGGCGAACGGGUGUGUAACACGUGAGUAACCUGCCCUUGACUUUGUGAUAUCUUCAGGAAACUGGUGCUAAUACCUGAUAGGAGCUCCUGCUGCAUGGUGGGGUUUGGACAGUUUCGGCGGUUGGGGAUGGACUCGCGGCUUAUCAGCUUGUUGGUGGGGUAGUGGCUUACCAAGGGUUUGACGGGUAGGCGGCCUGAGAGGGUGACCGGGGACAAUGGGACUGAGAGACGGCGCAGAAUCCAACGGGAGGCAGAAGGGGGGAAUAUUGCACAAUGGGCGGAAGCCUGAUGCAGAAACGCAGCGAGCGGGAUGACGGCCUUCGGGUUGUAAACCGCUUUAGCAUGUGACGAAGCGUGAGUGACGGUAAUGGGUAAAGAAGCACCGGCUAACUACGUG